CCCCCCCCCCCCCCCCCCCUAAGGUCGUUGAUUCAACCAUGUUUAUGACAAGAUUUAUUGGGAGAACUCUCUUUGCUGCAGUUAAAUCUGAAACUUCUGCUGCUGCAGCAGCAACUGGGUAUGCUCGUAACCCUCUUGAGGCGUUCUUCGAGGCAGAUAGGACCCAGGAUGAGGAUAAACGUGUUGUCUAUGGUACAAUGCUCUUUAUUUUUUUAACUAUUACCAAUUGCUUAUUUGUGUCUAAUGACAUUAUUGUAUUGGUUUUCGGUUGUCCAAGGGAAAGAUUGAUUUUACUUUCAGAAAGGACUGGCAUAGGUUAAAUAAAUGGAUAAUGUGUAUAAUUGAAAGCAUUGCAGUGGUUGUCAACCAUUUUAUGUAGGAUUUUAAGUUAUGAUUGCUUUCAGGAUACAUUUUAGAUCUGAGGUUGCAAGGAAUAAUCUUGAGCUUUAUUGGGCUCAACACAGAUUGGUUUCAUUUAGGUUUGAAGAAGCACUUAUUGAGCUUAUAACAUUGCAAGGGAAACGACUGCGCUUAAUAUACCAGAAGGGAACAAAGCCUUGUAAUUUUCAGAGGAAUGACACCAGCUGACCAGGAUUAAAGGAAAAGAAAAAUGAAGUUGUUGAAUUUCAGGAUUGUUUCCCUUGUUAAUUAUAUAUCUUCUUUAGUGUUAGUCAUUUGCACAUUGGUUUAUUUUUCUUUUAGGCCAUAGUUAUUAAAGGCUCAAGG
rnacentral:misc_RNA from 1 species